CCUUAGAGUUUGAUCCUGGCUCAGAGCGAACGCUGGCGGCAGGCUUAACACAUGCAAGUCGAGCGGGCGUAGCAAUACGUCAGCGGCAGACGGGUGAGUAACGCGUGGGAACGUACCUUUUGGUUCGGAACAACACAGGGAAACUUGUGCUAAUACCGGAUAAGCCCUUACGGGGAAAGAUUUAUCGCCGAAAGAUCGGCCCGUGUCUGAUUAGCUAGUUGGUGAGGUAACGGCUCACCAAGGCGACGAUCAGUAGCUGGUCUGAGAGGAUGAUCAGCCACAUUGGGACUGAGACACGGCCCAAACUCCUACGGGAGGCAGCAGUGGGGAAUAUUGGACAAUGGGGGCAACCCUGAUCCAGCCAUGCCGCGUGAGUGAUGAAGGCCCUAGGGUUGUAAAGCUCUUUUGUGCGGGAAGAUAAUGACGGUACCGCAAGAAUAAGCCCCGGCUAACUUCGUGCCAGCAGCCGCGGUAAUACGAAGGGGGCUAGCGUUGCUCGGAAUCACUGGGCGUAAAGGGUGCGUAGGCGGAUCUUUAAGUCAGAGGUGAAAGCCUGGAGCUCAACUCCAGAACUGCCUUUGAUACUGGGGAUCUUGAGUUCGGGAGAGGUGAGUGGAACUGCGAGUGUAGAGGUGAAAUUCGUAGAUAUUCGCAAGAACACCAGUGGCGAAGGCGGCUCACUGGCCCGAUACUGACGCUGAGGCACGAAAGCGUGGGGAGCAAACAGGAUUAGAUACCCUGGUAGUCCACGCCGUAAACG
rnacentral:rRNA from 1 species